rnacentral:misc_RNA from 1 species
GUUGCUGUUGGGCUUCAUGCAGAUUAUUCCUACGCUAGGAGCUUGGCUUUUUUCUCUGCGAUGCUUGGACCUGUAGCAUGGGAAGUUGCCUCUCGGAGGAUUGAGCAAGCACUACCCCCAGGGUGUAAGUUCGGUCGUGGGUGGGUUGGAGAAUAUGAGCCACUGCCAACACCAGUAUUAAUGCUUGAAACACGUGCACAGAAACAAUCUACUUUGUUUACAAAGUUACAAGGUGCUGCUGAUGCA